AUUGAACGCUGGCGGCAGGCUUAACACAUGCAAGUCGAACGAGUGGCGGACGGGUGAGUAAUGUCUGGGAAACUGCCUGAUGGAGGGGGAUAACUACUGGAAACGGUAGCUAAUACCGCAUACCAUCAGAUGUGCCCAGAUGGGAUUAGCUAGUGGGGGGGGUAACGGCUCACCUAGGCGACGAUCCCUAGCUGGUCUGAGAGGAUGACCAGCCAAACGGGAACGAAGACACGGUCCAGACUCCUACGGGAGGCAGCAGUGGGGAAUAUUGCACAAUGGGCGCAAGCCUGAUGCAGCCAUGCCGCGUGUGUGAAGAAGGCCUUCGGGUUGUAAAGCACUUUCAGCGGGGAGGCGUUACCCGCAGAAGAAGCACCGGCUAACUCCGUGCCAGCCGCCGCGGUAAUAC
rnacentral:rRNA from 1 species